GAAAAACAUUUAAAGGAACCAUAUCCAUUUUUACACAGCAGACACAGAGAAUGAAUUUGGAGCAGAGAGGCAGAGGGUGAGAAUCCGACACCCCUCAAAUAAAGCGAGACACAGAGAAAUAUUGUGCCUGAAGCAGAGCGGAAAGCUGGAAGGAUCAGAAAAGCCAGAAGGAGAAAAGCA